UCCAAUUCAACCAUCAUAGUGCA
rnacentral:siRNA from 1 species